rnacentral:rRNA from 1 species
AGAGUUUGAUCCUGGCUCAGGACGAACGCUGGCGGCGUGCCUAAUACAUGCAAGUAGAACGCUGAAGAGAGGAGCUUGCUCUUCUUGGAUGAGUUGCGAACGGGUGAGUAACGCGUAGGUAACCUGCCUUGUAGCGGGGGAUAACUAUUGGAAACGAUAGCUAAUACCGCAUAACAAUGGAUGACUCAUGUCAUUUAUUUGAAAGGGGCAAAUGCUCCACUACAAGAUGGACCUGCGUUGUAUUAGCUAGUAGGUGAGGUAACGGCUCACCUAGGCGACGAUACAUAGCCGACCUGAGAGGGUGAUCGGCCACACUGGGACUGAGACACGGCCCAGACUCCUACGGGAGGCAGCAGUAGGGAAUCUUCGGCAAUGGGGGCAACCCUGACCGAGCAACGCCGCGUGAGUGAAGAAGGUUUUCGGAUCGUAAAGCUCUGUUGUAAGUCAAGAACGAGUGUGAGAGUGGAAAGUUCACACUGUGACGGUAGCUUACCAGAAAGGGACGGCUAACUACGUGCCAGCAGCCGCGGUAAUACGUAGGUCCCGAGCGUUGUCCGGAUUUAUUGGGCGUAAAGCGAGCGCAGGCGGUUUGAUAAGUCUGAAGUUAAAGGCUGUGGCUCAACCAUAGUUCGCUUUGGAAACUGUCAAACUUGAGUGCAGAAGGGGAGAGUGGAAUUCCAUGUGUAGCGGUGAAAUGCGUAGAUAUAUGGAGGAACACCGGUGGCGAAAGCGGCUCUCUGGUCUGUAACUGACGCUGAGGCUCGAAAGCGUGGGGAGCGAACAGGAUUAGAUACCCUGGUAGUCCACGCCGUAAACGAUGAGUGCUAGGUGUUGGAUCCUUUCCGGGAUUCAGUGCCGCAGCUAACGCAUUAAGCACUCCGCCUGGGGAGUACGACCGCAAGGUUGAAACUCAAAGGAAU